UACGUAGGGGGCAAGCGUUGUCCGGAAUCACUGGGCGUAAAGCGCACGUAGGCGGCUUGUUAAGUCGGGGGUGAAAUCCUGGAGCUCAACUCCAGAACUGCCUUUGAUACUGGCGAGCUUGAGUUCGGGAGAGGUGAGUGGAACUGCGAGUGUAGAGGUGAAAUUCGUAGAUAUUCGCAAGAACACCAGUGGCGAAGGCGGCUCACUGGCCCGAUACUGACGCUGAGGUGCGAAAGCGUGGGGAGCAAACAGG
rnacentral:rRNA from 1 species